rnacentral:lncRNA from 1 species
AUUCUAUCUGCUGAGCUUCUCCAACCCACUGGUAAACACUACCCUGCUGGAGAACAGCACUGCUGUGAGGAUGGAGAAAGACAGUUUUCAGGUCUAUAAUUACAGAACCAAGCCAUGAGAACAUGGUUUACUGUAACCCUAAGAAUUAGACAAUACAAAGAAUGACUCAACUUCAGUCUACCUUCUUAGGAAGCUGCAGGACAAACCACAAAGCCUGAAAUACAGAAAGGUUCCCUGUUUACCUGAUGACCCUGGUUAAAUGAACACUCAGGUACUGAUUUAAGAAAAUUAAAUCUAAAGAAUCAGAAAUAACGGAAGAAUAGCAAAUUUAUACAUGACACAUGUGUUUCUUGUUAAGAAAUAAUUAAAAGCAUUACUGAUAAAUAACCAAGUUGGAUUAUUCCAAAAAUGUCACAUGUAAUCUUAA